UGCCAGCCGCCGCGGUAAUACGAAGGUCCCAAGCGUUGUUCGGAAUCACUGGGCGUAAAGCGCAUGUAGGCGGAACAGAAAGUUAGAAGUGAAAUCCCUGGGCUCAACCUAGGAAUUGCUCUUAAGACUUCUGUUCUGGAAUAAGGAGAGGAAAAUGGAGUAUCCAGUGUAGAGGUGAAAUUCGUAGAUAUUGGAUGGAACACCAGUGGCGAAGGCGAUUUUCUGGACUUAUAUUGACGCUGAGAUGCGAAGGCAUGGGUAGCAAACGGGAUUAGAUA
rnacentral:rRNA from 1 species